AUUGAACGCUGGCGGCAGGCUUAACACAUGCAAGUCGAGCGGGGUGAUGGUGCUUGCACUAUCACUUAGCGGCGGACGGGUGAGUAAUGCUUAGGAAUCUGCCUAUUAGUGGGGGACAACAUCUCGAAAGGGAUGCUAAUACCGCAUACGUCCUACGGGAGAAAGCAGGGGAUCACUUGUGACCUUGCGCUAAUAGAUGAGCCUAAGUCGGAUUAGCUAGCUGGUGGGGUAAAGGCCUACCAAGGCGACGAUCUGUAGCGGGUCUGAGAGGAGGAGCCGCCACACCGGCACUGAGGCACGGCCCAGACUCCUACGAGAGGCAGCAGUGGGGAAUAUUGGACAAUGGGGGGAACCCUGAUCCAGCCAUGCCGCGUGUGUGAAGAAGGCCUUAUGGUUGUAAAGCACUUUAAGCGAGGAGGAGGCUCUUUUGGUUAAUACCCAAGAUGAGUGGACGUUACUCGCAGAAUAAGCACCGGCUAACUCUGUGCCAGCAGCCGCGGUAA
rnacentral:rRNA from 1 species